UUGUUUUUUCUUUAUUUCACAGAUAUAAUUUUGGAUGGAGCCAUGGAAAGGAGAAGCUUGAGUCUGGUAAAUUUGAUACAUAUAAAGGGUCUUAUUAUGCUAAUCCUGUUUUAGAUGUGCCCACAACUGAUGUUUCCCUUAUACAGCGGUAUCCACACUACUGCCGAGCAAAUAUAUGGCCUACCAAUGCUUUGCCUGAUCUUGAAUCAG